CUUAUACUCCCUCCGUACGAAAAUACUUGUCAUUGAAAUGGAUGUAUCUAGAUGUAUUUUAGUUCUAGACACAUCCAUUUUGAUGACAAGUAAUUUCGGACGGAGGGAGUACCUG
rnacentral:pre_miRNA from 1 species